rnacentral:rRNA from 1 species
UACGUAGGGUGCAAGCGUUACUCGGAAUUACUGGGCGUAAAGCGUGCGCAGGCGGUUUUGUAAGUCUGUCGUGAAAUCCCCGGGCUUAACCUGGGAAUUGCGAUGGAGACUGCAAGGCUAGAAUCUGGCAGAGGGGGGUAGAAUUCCACGUGUAGCAGUGAAAUGCGUAGAGAUGUGGAGGAACACCGAUGGCGAAGGCAGCCCCCUGGGUCAAGAUUGACGCUCAUGCACGAAAGCGUGGGGAGCAAACAGG